rnacentral:lncRNA from 1 species
UUCUUUAUUUUAGACAGACCUUGAAGUUAUAUAAGAACAACUGACCUGUUUCAGAUGAACAAGAUAUAAAAUAAUAACAUUAAUACAUUUUCCUGAAAUCUUUAAAGUUUUAUAAAUUGCCCAUGGAGGUUUGUGAACCAAGGUCACUCUGUGUCUUUUCAUUCUUUUAAUUAUCUAGUUCCAGCCUGAUACACUAGCCUUGCUAAUUGGACACAGAGAAAUCCCUUAUCAGUGAAGUUAGAAAAGGACCUAUGAAAAAAGUGUGGGAGACUGCUGUAAAUCAAAGAAGAGGAACAGAACAGAAGGAAAGCCAAUCAACUGUACCCCUCCGAGCUGUGAGUUUAUAGGAAAAGCUGAGCUUCGUUGGAUGGAGGAAAAAGUGGCCAGCAGGGGUCAUAAGAAAAGAACAUAUCCAUGAUGAGAAAAAAAACAAGUGAAUGGUACAUUAGUAAUGGGCAAGAAAACCUCCAGAAGGGAUUGACUUUGUCACUGCAAAUACGCUUACUGCAAUACAAACCUGGAUAAAUCAGAGUAUCUCAAAGCAGCAAGAAUAAGCAUUCAAGAUAAUAGUUUUCUUUAUGGAUCUUCUCUUAGCAGUACAGCAGAUGAAGUAACAAGGAAUCUACCCAGCAGGUGAAUUUCUAUUAAAGCCUUUCUGUGUCUUGGCAGUGGCUCACAGCAUUGACAUUCUUUCACAAAACACUUAGUAUCAAGGAAUCAGCAUUUUUCUAGUGACAAGUCACUUAAUAAAAUUCCUGACGUUGUCCA